GACGAACGCUGGCGGCGUGCCUAAUACAUGCAAGUAGAACGCUGAAGAGAGGAGCUUGCUCUUCUUGGAUGAGUUGCGAACGGGUGAGUAACGCGUAGGUAACCUGCCUUGUAGCGGGGGAUAACUAUUGGAAACGAUAGCUAAUACCGCAUAACAAUGGAUGACACAUGUCAUUUAUUUGAAAGGGGCAAUUGCUCCACUACAAGAUGGACCUGCGUUGUAUUAGUUAGUAGGUGAGGUAAUGGCUCAACUAGGCGACGAUACAUAGCAGACCUGAGAGGGUGGGCGGCCACCCUGGGACUGAGACACGGCCCAGACGCCUAGGGGAGGGAGCAGUAGGGAAUCUUCGGGAAGGGGGGCAACCCUGACCGAGCAACGCUGCGGGAGUGAAGAAGGUUUUCGGAUCGUAAAGCUCUGUUGUAAGUCAAGAACGGGUGUGAGAGUGGAAAGUUCACACUGUGACGGUAGCUUACCAGAAAGGGACGGCUAACUACGUG
rnacentral:rRNA from 1 species